GAGGGUGUGGCUCAGAGGUAGAGCACUUGCCUAGCAUGCACAAGGCCCUGGGUUUGAUCACCAGCACCUUUG
rnacentral:tRNA from 2 species